GACAAACGCUGGCGGCGUGCCUAAUACAUGCAAGUCGAACGGGCACUCUUCGGAGUGCUAGUGGCGGACGGGUGAGUAACACGUAGAUAACCUGCCCCGAAGUGGGGAAUAACAUCUCGAAAGAGAUGCUAAUACCGCAUAAGCUCUUUGGUGAUAGCCGAAGAGGAAAGCAAAAGCGCAAGCUAAGUGCUUUGGGAGGGGUCUGCGGCGGAUUAGCUAGUUGGUGGGGUAAAGGCCUACCAAGGCGACGAUCCGUAGCUGGUCUGAGAGGACGAUCAGCCACACUGGGACUGAGACACGGCCCAGACUCCUACGGGAGGCAGCAGUAAGGAAUAUUCCACAAUGGGCGAAAGCCUGAUGGAGCGACGCCGCGUGAGCGAUGAAGGCCU
rnacentral:rRNA from 1 species